rnacentral:rRNA from 1 species
UACGUAGGUGGCAAGCGUUGUCCGGAAUUAUUGGGCGUAAAGCGCGCGCAGGUGGUUCCUUAAGUCUGAUGUGAAAGCCCACGGCUCAACCGUGGAGGGUCAUUGGAAACUGGGGAACUUGAGUGCAGAAGAGGAAAGUGGAAUUCCAAGUGUAGCGGUGAAAUGCGUAGAGAUUUGGAGGAACACCAGGGCGAAGGCGACUUUCUGGUCUGUAACUGACACUGAGGCGCGAAAGCGUGGGGAGCGAACAGG